rnacentral:rRNA from 1 species
UACGGGAGGCAGCAGUGGGGAAUAUUGCACAAUGGGCGCAAGCCUGAUGCAGCCAUGCCGCGUGUAUGAAGAAGGCCUUCGGGUUGUAAAGUACUUUCAGUCGUGAGGAAGGUGUUAAGGUUAAUAACCUUAGCAAUUGACGUUAGCGACAGAAGAAGCACCGGCUAACUCCGUGCCAGCAGCCGCGGUAAUACGGAGGGUGCGAGCGUUAAUCGGAAUUACUGGGCGUAAAGGGCACGCAGGCGGUUAAUUAAGUUGGAUGUGAAAUCCCCGGGCUUAACCUGGGAAUGGCAUUCAAGCUGGUUAGCUAGAGUCUUGUAGAGAGGGGUAGAAUUCCAUGUGUAGCGGUGAAAUGCGUAGAGAUGUGGAGGAAUACCGGUGGCGAAGGCGGCCCCUGGACAAAGGCUGACGCUCAUGUGCGAAAGCGUGGGGAGCAAACAGGGAUUAGAUACC